CAAGGAGAAGGCACCGUGUGAGGCUUACCUGGCUGGCAAUAAAAUGACAAUUAUGUUGUCUCCAUCAAGAUUCAGUGCAGACAGCCAAGAUGCAGUGGCCCAUAAUUAUCUGUGGGAUGCUUUUUAAGUAGUGCAGAGCAAAUUUACGUCCUGUAGGGUGGCUAAAAAGAUAAAAAGACAGUAAAGGCUGCUGUGGAAAUAAGUUGAAAAUUAACCUUUUGCCAAGCCCCAGCUAUGAUGUCUUGGUAAAUUAGUAUCAUCACCUUUGAGACUUCAGCUGGCUUUCUGUGACUUGCUGAGCAAGAGAGAUCAUACACCUACCUCAUCUCCUGUGUCAUGUGCUGUAUGAGAAACAAGCCUGGGAUUACUGAUGUUCACUGGCUCCCCAUCAGUGAUUCUCCUGUACAAAGACCCAGGACUCUGGAUAAGAAGACACCCAGAGUGGGUCAUUUGGUUAGGUAAGUCUUUUAAAAAUGUGGUUGAAACAUAAAAUAAAAA
rnacentral:lncRNA from 12 species